rnacentral:snRNA from 1 species
AGAUGUGAGGGCUAUCUGGCUGCGACAUCUGUCAUCCACUGAUCGCUAGGGUUGAUUGGGCUGAUCUGCUGGCUGGCUAGGCAGGUGUCCCCUUGUUCCCUGACCGCUCCAUGUGUGUCCCUCCUGAAACUGUCCACUUGGUUGAAGAAGACGACCUCCCCCAGUAGAGGAGACUGUUCUUCGGUCAAGGGUAUACAAGUAGCUGCGCUCCCCUGCCAGAACCUCCAAAUGAGCUCUCAAGCGAGUAACCUACAGGAACUGUCGCUAACUGAACGUGUGUGUGCUGGUAAUGACGAGAGAGAGAAUACUGUAUUUUCAAUCUGUGUUUGCUGAAAAAAUCUGCAUAUAGUUCAAA